rnacentral:rRNA from 1 species
CAUUAAUGAAACUUCAAAGUCGGCUCUGUUCUGUGCUGGUGGCAACACAUGUGCACGUUCGGGUCGCAAUUCCACACACCUGUGCACUUUUAUGACUCUGAGUGCUGCUUUGNGUGGUCAACCGAAAGGAAGACCUGGUGCUUGAGUAACUUUACACACACUAUUGAAUGUAAUGGAAUGUCUUUUGUGCAUAAUGUCCAACUAAAACAACUUUCAACAACGGAUCUCUUGGCUCUCGCAUCGAUGAAGAACGCAGCGAAAUGCGAUAAGUAAUGUGAAUUGCAGAAUUCAGUGAAUCAUUGAAUCUUUGAACGCACCUUGCACCCUUUGGUAUUCCGAAGGGUACGCCUGUUUGAGUGUCAUUGUAAUCUCACUACAACAACUUUAUUUGUUGAUGUAUGUGGACUUGGAUGUUGCUGUGUUACAGCGGCUCAUCUGAAAUGCCUCAGUGUACCCUGCUUUNNNNUGUAUUCGGUGUGAUACAUCUUCACCGNAGUCGAUCUUUGNAUCAUGNUUGCCUAACAUGNNUCUAUGCUUCCAACCGUCUUUAACGACAAAUCUUUGACAAUUNGACCUCAAAUCGGGUGGGACUACCCGCUGAACUUAAGCAUAUCAAUAAGCAGAGGAAAAGAAACUAACAAGGAUUCCCCUAGUAACGGCGAGUGAAGAGGGAAAAGCUCAAAUUUUGAAUCUGGUGUCUUUGGCGCCCGAGUUGUAAUCUAGAGAAGUGUUUUCCGCGUUGGNCCGUGCACAANUCCCCUGGAAUGGGGCGUCAUAGAGGGUGAGAAUCCCGUAUAUGGCAUGGACUACCAGUGCUCUGUGAUACACUCUCAACGAGUCGAGUCGUUUGGGAAUGCAGCUCAAAAUGGGUGGUAAAUUCCAUCUAAAGCUAAAUAUUGGCGAGAGACCGAUAGCGAACAAGUACCAUGAGGGAAAGAUGAAAAGCACUUUGGAAAGAGAGUGAAACAGUACAUGAAAUUGUUGAAAGGGAAGCGUUUGAAGUCAGUCAUAUCUGUCGGGAUUCAGCCUGGCUUUUGCCUGGUGUAUUUUCCGUCCGAUGGGUCAGCAUCACUUUCGACCGAGGGAAAAAGAUGUGGGGAAUGUGGCUGUCUUUGGGCAGUGUUAUANCCUUGCGUUGUAUGUCUCGGUUGGGAUUGAGGUACNCAGCGCACCAUAAAUGGCCGGGGGUUAACUCCUUUCGAAUCGCACUUAGGAUGCUGGCAUAAUG